UGUGCACACAGGUGUAAGAGAUUCUUCCUUCUCAGAGUCGUAAUUGGGUUGAUGAUCUACAUGAUGGUGAUGGACCAGGACAGCUCCGGACCCCCUGACUGGCAGCUCCAUCCUCAACCUGCCUUCUUGCCCUUCACACAUGUGCAGAUGAAAGCAGUCGUUCCUGUUCAGCAUUGAUGUGCCCGUAAUGGGUCUGAUGAGCCACAUGAUGAUGGUGAUGGACAACCAGCAUCAGGACCAGGGCGGCUCCAUGCCUCACGAGGACAACCUUGUGUCUUGCCUGUCCAUCCUCAACCUCGCAUCUUCCUGCUCUUCACACAUGUGCAGACACAGAGACAGUUUUCAGAGGGAGCGCUGAUGACACCAGCAACUUUGGAUCUGAACCUGAUCAACCCAGCACCAACCACUGUGCCUCUCCUCCUCAGCCGUGACUCCACCAUAUCCAAAAGGUGCAAACACGACUCCACUUCCUGCGAAGGAUGAGAAGAGCUGACCUCCCCAC